rnacentral:tRNA from 1 species
GAGCUCCGCUCUUGCAA